rnacentral:lncRNA from 10 species
CAUUCUUGGGGGAGGCACUCAUGGCCUAACAACCUCCUAAAGAACCUACUAUUUUGUGUAAUACCAUCAUAUCGGCUGCUGUUAACUAUCAGUACCUGAAUUUUGGAGGGAACACAUUCAAACUAUAGCAUUUAUUUAGGCUAAAAAGGAGAUAGUUCAUUGUCAGUGUAUGAAAAACCUACUGAUUUUUUACGUUGAUUUUAUAUACUGCAACUUUAUUGAAUUCUCAACAAAUGGUGUUGAAAAAACUGGAUGUCCUCAUGAAGAAGAAUGAAAUUGAACACAUCACAUCCCAUAUACAAGAAUCAACUCAAAGUGGGUUGAAGACUUAAAUAUAAGAUCUGAAACUAUAAAACUAUUAGAAAUAAAAAACGUAAGAGGAAAGCUCCACACACUGAUCUGGACAAAGAUUUUUUUGACCAUGACCCUAAAAGCACAGGCAACAAAAACAAAAAGAGACCAUUAAUCUAUUAGUUAUUGUAUUGCAUCAAACUAAAAAGCUUACGCACAGCAAAGGAAACAAUUUACAAAAUAAAGAGACAACCCAUAGGUUAAGAGAAAAAUAUGUGCAAAUAAUACAUCUGUUAAGGGGCUCUAAUAUCCAAAAUACAGAGAGAAAUUAAACAACUCAAUAAUAAGAAAACAAGUGAUUACAUUAAAAAUAGUCAAAUGACUUGAACAGAUAUUUCUCAAAAGAAGACACAUAAAUGGCCAGUGGGUUAUUAAUAACAAAGCCCAAUAUCCCUAUCACUAAUCAUUGGGGAAAUGCAAAUUGAAACCACAAUUAAAUAUCACCUCAGAUCUGUCAGAAUGGCUAUUAUCAAAAAGAUGAAAUUUAAAUGUUGGUGAAGAAGUGGAGAAAAAGGAACCUUUUUACACUGUUGGUGAGAAUGUAAAUUAGUACAGCCAUUAUGGAAAACUGUAUGGAGGCUCCUCAAAAACCAAAAAAUAGAACUACCAUGUGAUUUAGUAAUUUCACUUCUGGGUAUUUACCCAAAGGCAUGAAAUUAGUAUGUCAAAGAGAUACCUGUUCUUCUAUGUCCAUUGCAACAUUACUCGCAAUACCCAAGACAUGAAAGCAACCUGAAUGUUCAUCUACAGAUGAAUAGACAAAGAAAAUGUGGUAUAUAUUUGCAAUGGAAUAUUAUCUAGCCUUAAUAAUAAAAAAAGGAAUCUUGUCAUUUGCAACAACAUUGAUAAACCUGGUGAACAUUAUGCUAAGUGAAAUAAGCCAGACAUCGAAGGACAAAUACUAAAUGAUCCCACUCAUAUGAGAAAUCUAAAACAGUCAAACUCAUAGAAGCAGACAGUAGAAUGAUGGUUACCAGGGGAUGAAGGAGGGGGAAACAGGGAGGUAUUGGGCAAAGAGAACAAAGUUUUUGCUACGCAAGUUAAAUAAGUCCUAGAAAUCUAUGUGCAGCAUAGUGUCUAUAGUUAACUAUAUUAUAUUGCAUACUCAAAGAGUUGCUAAAUUUGCUAAGAGGGUAGCAAAUCUUAUGUUAAGUAUUCUUAUAAAUAGAUAAAUAAAUAAGGCAGAGGAAACCUUUGGGGGUGAUGGAUAUGUUUAUGACAUUCAUCAUAGUGAUGGUUUCAUGAUUGCAUACUGAUCACCAAACCCUUCAAGUUGUAUGUGUUAUGUACAGCUUCUGUAUGCUAAUCAAACCUCAAUAAAGUGUUUUUUUAAUCAUAAUAUGUUCAUGUCAGCACCAAAAGAUCAUCUUUUACUUUCUACUUCAUAGAUUAUUGAUUUUGAUUAGGGGUUGGUAACUUCUUUCUAUAAAGGACAGAUAGAAAAUGUUCUAGGCUUUGUGAGCCACACAGAUUCUGUUGCCACUAGUC